CAGCAGCCGCGGGAAUACGUAGGGUGCAAGCGUUAAUCGGAAUUACUGGGCGUAAAGCGUGCGCAGGCGGUUCUAUAAGACAGAUGUGAAAUCCCCGGGCUCAACCUGGGAACUGCAUUUGUGACUGUAGAGCUGGAGUGCGGCAGAGGGGGAUGGAAUUCCGCGUGUAGCAGUGAAAUGCGUAGAUAUGCGGAGGAACACCGAUGGCGAAGGCAAUCCCCUGGGCCUGCACUGACGCUCAUGCACGAAAGCGUGGGGAGCAAACAGGAUUAGAUACCCCCGUAGUCCCUGUCUCUUAUAC
rnacentral:rRNA from 1 species